CUCACACACACACACUUGAACGGAGGAGACGAGAAACAAUCGGCGUCGGUGACAAUGGUGGCUAUCGACGAUCGGUGAUCGGCGACAGUGGUGGUGGCGAGCAGCGAUCGAAGCAUCGAUUCGAAGAGAUUUGCUUAUUUUUUCAGGGCUUCGACUGUGUUCUGAUAGGGCUUCGACUGUGUUCUGCUAAUUACUUAGGGCUUUCACUGUGUCAAAUUAAUCAUGUUUCAGGUUGCCUUGUUUCUGAGUAUUUAAUCAUGUUUAAGGUUGCCUUAUUUCUGAGUAUUAAAUUAAUCAUGUGUUAAAUUAAGUUACAGAUAUGCUUAUUUCUUGUGUCUGAGUAUUUGAUCAAUGACAGCCCAAAUUGAUGACCUAGACUCCAUGGUUAAGAUUGCCUUGUGAGCAACCUUUUAUGUCUCUCAGUUCAUCACAUGUUGAAAUUGUGUGCAUUAAUGUGUUAUACCUUGAAUGGAACUUAAUUUUGUUUGUUAAGGGUUUGUUAGUUUAUUUGUUUGUUUUGGAAAAAGAUAAGAACUUUAUUGAAAUAUAUAAGAAGUAUGCAGAGCAGUGGCUUUCUUCUCUUCCAUAUCGCUGAAGCAUACUGAUUGGUUACUGUACUAGUUCUGAGGCAAAUAUUUGAAUAGAGUAUGUUAUGAUAUAGAUUAAAUAUUUAGAAGGGGAAGAAAAAUAGUUAAAAUUUACCGACAAAAAAAA